rnacentral:rRNA from 1 species
CCUACGGGUGGCUGCAGUCGAGGAUCUUCGGCAAUGGGCGCAAGCCUGACCGAGCGACGCCGCGUGUGCGAUGAAGGCCUUCGGGUUGUAAAGCACUGUCGAGGGGGAUAAAAGCCGCAAGGCUUGAUAGAUCCCUGGAGGAAGCACGGGCUAAGUUCGUGCCAGCAGCCGCGGUAAGACGAACCGUGCGAACGUUGUUCGGAAUCACUGGGCUUAAAGGGCGCGUAGGCGGCUUGCCAAGUCAGGGGUGAAAUCCUGCAGCUCAACUGUAGAAGUGCCUUUGAUACUGGCGAGCUCGAGGGAGGUAGGGGUGCGCGGAACUUCUGGUGGAGCGGUGAAAUGCGUUGAUAUCAGAAGGAACGCCGGUGGCGAAAGCGGCGCACUGGAUCUCUUCUGACGCUGAGGCGCGAAAGCUAGGGGAGCAAACGGGAUUAGAUACC